GCAUUCGAGCACUACGACUUUGUCGGAUUUUGGGUUAAGGGCACUAGACCAUCCCGCUAACAUCGGAGAAGCUGCAGUCGAUCCGCAGCUUUUUGUUUUGUCGCUGAUCUUGCUAUUCCCGUGAUCGAAAAUUGGAGCCAGUUUCGAGUGGGAGAACGAAUUCUAUGAAUUCCAACUGUCGUGGGCAGUUGUGAGCCCUCCCAGAACAGCUGGAGAAUCACCAAAAACCUCGACUCGACAUCGACUGGAACUUCGCUGCGACGCCGCUGUGUUUCGACAUCUCGUCGUGGAUAUCGAAGGAGGCAGGUGCCCAUGGUACUUCCAUUCCAUCGCAUUAAGAUUAAGUAUUAGUCGCCUUACCUUUUCUUUAUUGUAUCGCAACACGUUUCGAAGUUCGGCGUAACUAGCACUCGCACAUAACCUAGUAAUAACAAUCGGUAAGAGUGUGACGCUUCGCUCUACGUUAAUACCUUCGUACGUACGUUAGGACUACCGAGCGUGUGGCCUACUUCGUUUAUCUCAUAGCCCUCGAAAUAAUUAAUCAAAUCGUUAUUCGUUACGACCCCAACUAACUUGUUCGUUUCGUAAACAUCGUUCGUAUCGCUCGUAUUUAUCGUUAAUUAGUUCAUCGCCUUUCGUAAUUAAACUAUCGUUCGUAUUGCUCGUAUUCAUCGUAAACCGUUAGUCGCAUUAAAUCGUUAUCAUUAAUAUCUUACUCAUUUCCUUUUGCUUACUUAUUUAGUUAUUUAUCACUCUUAUUUUAUUUUUAAUUAGUGACCUUAGGUUUUCUUGUAACCAAUAAUUUAAGUAACAGCUUGCAAUUACAAUAGUUAAAUAUUUUUCCGGUUUUUUGUUGUUGUAAUUGUGUCUUAAUAAAAACUGGUGGCGCCCUGGCGACGUCGCUACACAAAACAG